rnacentral:rRNA from 1 species
GUGUCAGCAGCCGCGGUAAUACGUAGGCAGCAAGCGUUGUUCGGAGUUACUGGGCGUAAAGAGUGUGUAGGCGGUUCUCUAAGUUCCGUGUGAAAUCUCCCGGCUCAACUGGGAGGGUGCGCGGAAAACUGGAGGCCUUGAGUAUGGGAGAGGAAAGCGGAAUUCCUGGUGUAGCGGUGAAAUGCGUAGAUAUCAGGAGGAACACCUGCGGUGUAGACGGCUUUCUGGACCAUCACUGACGCUGAGACACGAAAGCGUGGGUAGCAAACAGGAUUAGAUACCCUGGUAGUCCACGCCCUAAACGAUGCAUACUUGGUGUGAGCCGUUCAUUCGGUUCGUGCCGGAGCUAACGCGUUAAGUAUGCCGCCUGGGGAGUACGGUCGCAAGGCUGAA